rnacentral:rRNA from 1 species
GACGGAGGAUGCAAGCGUUAUCCGGAAUGAUUGGGCGUAAAGCGUCUGCAGGUGGCAGUUCAAGUCUGCUGUCAAAGACCGGGGCUUAACUUCGGAAAGGCAGUGGAAACUGAACAGCUAGAGUAUGGUAGGGGCAGAGGGAAUUCCUGGUGUAGCGGUGAAAUGCGUAGAGAUCAGGAAGAACAUCGGUGGCGAAGGCGCUCUGCUGGACCAUAACUGACACUCAGAGACGAAAGCUAGGGGAGCAAAUGGG